rnacentral:rRNA from 1 species
UACAGAGGUCUCAAGCGUUGUUCGGAUUCAUUGGGCGUAAAGGGUGCGUAGGCGGCGCGGUAAGUCGGGUGUGAAAUCUCGGGGCUUAACUCCGAAACUGCAUUCGAUACUGCCGUGCUUGAGGACUGGAGAGGAGACUGGAAUUUACGGUGUAGCAGUGAAAUGCGUAGAUAUCGUAAGGAAGACCAGUGGCGAAGGCGGGUCUCUGGACAGUUCCUGACGCUGAGACAUGAAGGCCAGGGGAGCAAACGGG